rnacentral:tRNA from 1 species
GCUCCCAUCGUCCAGGGGACCAAGACACAGCCCUCUCAAGGCUGAGACGCGGGUUCGAAUCCCGCUGGGAGCA